rnacentral:rRNA from 1 species
GAUGAACGCUGGCGGCGUGCCUAAUACAUGCAAGUCGAGCGAACGGACGAGAAGCUUGCUUCUCUGAUGUUAGCGGCGGACGGGUGAGUAACACGUGGAUAACCUACCUAUAAGACUGGGAUAACUUCGGGAAACCGGAGCUAAUACCGGAUAAUAUUUUGAACCGCAUGGUUCAAAAGUGAAAGACGGUCUUGCUGUCACUUAUAGAUGGAUCCGCGCUGCAUUAGCUAGUUGGUAAGGUAGCGGCUUACCAAGGCAACGAUGCAUAGCCGACCUGAGAGGGUGAUCGGCAACACUGGAACUGAGACACGGUCCAGACUCCUACGGGAGGCAGCAGUAGGGAAUCUUCCGCAAUGGGCGAAAGCCUGACGGAGCAACGCCGCGUGAGUGAUGAAGGUCUUCGGAUCGUAAAACUCUGUUAUUAGGGAAGAACAUAUGUGUAAGUAACUGUGCACAUCUUGACGGUACCUAAUCAGAAAGCCACGGCUAACUACGUG